GACGAACGCUGGCGGCGUGCCUAACACAUGCAAGUCGAACGGAAAGGCCCUGCUUUUGUGGGGUGCUCGAGUGGCGAACGGGUGAGUAACACGUGGGUAACCUGCCCUUGACUUUGGGAUAACUUCAGGAAACUGGGGCUAAUACCGGAUAGGAGCUCCUGCUGCAUGGUGGGGGUUGGAAAGUUUCGGCGGUUGGGGAUGGACUCGCGGCUUAUCAGCUUGUUGGUGGGGUAGUGGCUUACCAAGGCUUUGACGGGUAGCCGGCCUGAGAGGGUGACCGGCCACAUUGGGACUGAGAUACGGCCCAGACUCCUACGGGAGGCAGCAGUGGGGAAUAUUGCACAAUGGGCGGAAGCCUGAUGCAGCAACGCCGCGCGCGGGAUGACGGCCUUCGGGUUGUAAACCGCUUUCGCCUGUGACGAAGCGUGAGUGACGGUAAUGGGUAAAGAAGCACCGGCUAACUACGU
rnacentral:rRNA from 1 species